UGUGGCUUAGUGGUAGAGCACUUGCCUAGCAUGUGCAAGGCCCUGGGUUCAAUCCCCAGCA
rnacentral:tRNA from 1 species